rnacentral:rRNA from 1 species
AGAGUUUGAUCAUGGCUCAGAAUCAACGCUGGCGGCGCGCCUAACACAUGCAAGUCGAACGAGAAAGUGGAGCAAUCCAUGAGUACAGUGGCGUACGGGUGAGUAACACGUGGGUAAUCUACCUCUUAGUGUGGAAUAACCCUGGGAAACCGGGGCUAAUACCGCAUAAGCUCGAGAGAGGAAAGCAGCAAUGCGCUGAGAGAGGAGCCCGCGGCCGAUUAGCUUGUUGGCAGGGUAAAAGCCUACCAAGGCAAAGAUCGGUAGCCGGCCUGAGAGGGCACACGGCCACACUGGCACUGAAACACGGGCCAGACUCCUACGGGAGGCAGCAGUGGGGAAUCUUGCACAAUGGGGGAAACCCUGAUGCAGCGACGCCGCGUGAGCGAUGAAGCCCUUCGGGGUGUAAAGCUCUUUCGGCAGGGAAGAUGAUGACGGUACCUGCAGAAGCAGCUGCGGCUAACUACGUGCCAGCAGCCGCGGUAAUACGUAGGCAGCAAGCGUUGUUCGGAGUUACUGGGCGUAAAGGGUGUGUAGGCGGUUCUCUAAGUUUGGUGUGAAAUCUCCCGGCUCAACUGGGAGGGUGCGCCGAAUACUGAAGGACUAGAGUGCGGGAGAGGAGAGUGGAAUUCCUGGUGUAGCGGUGAAAUGCGUAGAUAUCAGGAGGAACACCGGUGGUGUAGGCGGCUCUCUGGACCGUAACUGACGCUGAAACACGAAAGCGUGGGUAGCAAACAGGAUUAGAUACCCUGGUAGUCCACGCCCUAAACGAUGCAUAUUUGGUGUGGGUCAUUCAGUUGAUCCGUGCCGGAGCUAACGCGUUAAAUAUGCCGCCUGGGGAGUACAGUCGCAAGGCUGAAACUCAAAGGAAUUGACGGGGGCCCGCACAAGCGGUGGAGCAUGUGGUUCAAUUCGACGCAACGCGAAGAACCUUACCUGGGCUCGAACGGCUGGUCAACGCCGGUGGAAACAUCGGUACCCCGCAAGGGGGUCCAGUCGA